UACGAAGGGGGCGAGCGUUGUCCGGAUUUAUUGGGCGUAAAGAGCUCGUAGGCGGUUUGGUGAGUCGGGUGUGAAAUCUCCACGCUCAACGUGGAGGGGCCACCCGAUACUGCCAUGACUAGAGUCCGGUAGGGGAGUGUGGAAUUCCCGGUGUAGCGGUGAAAUGCGCAGAUAUCGGGAGGAACACCAGUAGCGAAAGCGACUUCCUGGACCAAUACUGACGCUCAUGUGCGAAAGCGUGGGGAGCAAACAGG
rnacentral:rRNA from 1 species